UUCUGCAAGAGUAUGAAUCUUCAUCUCAAUCCACUCAAGAAGAUCAGUAGCGAGYUUCUCGUAUUCAAUAAUGAGUGCUUCAUUUUCUCGGAUUCUUUCUAUGACCUGUGGAAAUUGAAUGUUUUAGUAAAGAAAUAUAGCUACUUUAAGGUACAUGUAAUAUUUUCUUACCUUUCCUACUCUUGAUCCACUAACUUCUACUGUUUUCAUCUUAGCAAAAUAGUGGUAGUAAGCAGAUACGUAUGUGAUGAUGGAUUUCUCAUCAGGAAAGUCUACGUUUACAUCUAUAUAACAAGACAUACAUUGAAUCAGCCUCACGGCAUCGCUAACCAGACAUGUGGAUAUCACACGAUAGGAGAACAACGGGUAAUUUAGAAAGCCAUUUCAAUGCUACAUCCGGAAAACCAUUCCGCAGCACAUCGAACAUUCCAUCGUGCAGUGAAAUAUACAAGUUUGAAAUGGACAAGAAUCAUGUUUACAGAAUUUGAAAGGACUCUAUGAGAUGCGAACGUUAUACAAAGCCCAUCUACAUGCAAACGUAAUCCAGUAUUUUGUCUAACAAAACAUAGAGGUUUAGAAAAUAUUCUGAGAAGUCCAACKAUUGCAGUUUUUCAAAGUUAGAAAAGCAGCUAUUAAUAUUACAAACGAAGGAGGAUAGAUUUCGUGUGGGAACAUCCCGGGAAAUGCAUGAAUUUUGUACUAAACAGAAUUUUUAAAGCCCAUGCAAAGAUCACUGCAAAGUAUAAGAAUGAAUCUACUAAAGCAGGAGUCCAGCACUUCAAGUAUACAAGCGUCUCCUCGGUGAGCACGAUACGUUACGUGUUAUAUCUAUCGGCCAACCUUGUAAACCAAAAUCGUGGCCGUAGCUACAUCAUGGCUGUUAGACAACAAUAGCAAUCAGAUUGAGCGGGGCGUGAAGCAAGUAGUCGCCAUAGCCCUUCUUGUACCUUUCACACCUUUCAUGUGCAUCCAUCGCUAGUUCCACGCGACUAGAGCAUGAAGAUCAUGUCGAAGGCAUUUACUCAGACGAGUACAGAUCCAAGAAGGAAUAUACAACUACUAUAAGGCUGUUAUAAUACACCCCAGCCAGGAUCCAAUAGUCAUUGUGAUCGACUCACCCUCACUACAUCAGCAUCACGAUCUUCCAUAUGCGUUGGCAAGCCUUCCAGUCUAUGUCGACUUACUUCAAGCAAGUCAGUGGACGGCCGAUCAAGCGGA